GAGAUGGAGGGUUGCCGGCCUGUUGCCCCCGCGCCGGCGGCUCUCCCAGGGGGCGGGUUUCAAAUUCCGCCCCCGCAACACCUUCCGUCAGGAACAUGCCCCCCUCCGUCGGAAGGAACUCGGGCGGUGAAGUCCCCCAGCUUCACCGCCCACUUUC
rnacentral:sRNA from 22 species